GUGCUCAGUUUGGCAGCACAUGUUCUGAAAUUGGAAUGAUAUGGAGAGAAGGUUAACAUGGCCCUUAUGCAAGGAAGCCACAAAUUCAUGAAGAGGCCCAUAAAAAAGAA